AACCUUAAGACUGUAAUCGUGUCCUACUUAUCCGGUUGUCUUUUUACUCAUUCAAUUGAACUUAUUGGUUUAUUUAACUCAUUAUUGUCUUUACUUAUUUCUCUGUCCUUUCCCCUCUGCUUUAUGUUCUGGCCUCAUCUGAUUCACGUUCAUUCUGUAUCAUCGUUUUGUUUAUAUCUAAACCUUUUUCUCUCUAUUCUUUUCUCUUUUAUUGAUACCUUUUCACAUAUAAUCAACCAAAGUCUCUCUGCUACGAGGAUUGAAGCACAAUAACAUCGUGACACUUCACGAUAUCAUACACACUGAUAAAACUCUUACCUUGGUGUUCGAGUAUCUGGAGCAAGAUCUGAGGCAAUACAUGGAUCAUUGUGCGAAUCUUUUGAGCCAAAAUAAUGUUAAGAUAUUUCCUUUCCAAAUGGUAAGAGGACCUUCAUACAUUCAUCGGAAACAGAUUUUACACUGAGAUCUCUUGAUUGGAUUGAAAUUAAUUUAUAAAUUUAAAGAUAAUAUUGAAAAGUAAUGAAAAAGCAAACAAACCAACCUGAAAAUAGUUCUGCGCAACUUGAAACGCUUUUGUAUUGCAAUUAAUCUAUUAAAGUUGCUUGGUAAUAA